UCCGUUAUGGUGUAGUGGCUAACAUUAUCGCCUCUCAUGAGACGAGAGAUCAGGAGUCGCGAUAGCCCAGGGUUCGAUUCCCUGUAACGGAA